UGCCGCGUGGAUGAAGAAGGCCUUCGGGUUGUAAAGUCCUUUCGUGGGGGACGAAAAGGUGGUUCCUAAUACGAUCUGCUGUUGACGUGAACCCAAGAAGAAGCACCGGCUAACUCCGUGCCAGCAGCCGCGGUAAUACGGGGGGUGCAAGCGUUAAUCGGAAUCACUGGGCGUAAAGGGUGCGUAGGCGGUACGUUAGGUCUGUCGUGAAAUCCCCGGGCUCAACCUGGGAAUGGCGGUAGAAACCGGCGCACUAGAGUAUGGGAGAGGGUGGUGGAAUUCCAUGUGUAGCGGUGA
rnacentral:rRNA from 1 species